GGAAUAUUGGACAAUGGGGGCAACCCUGAUCCAGCAAUGCCGCGUGUGUGAAGAAGGCCUGCGGGUUGUAAAGCACUUUUCUGAGGAAAGAACACGGGUGGGGUGAAUAGCCUCAUCAACUCACGGUACUUCAGGAAUAAGCACCGGCUAACUCCGUGCCAGCAGCCGCGGUAAUACGGAGGCUGCAAGCGUUAAUCGGAAUUACUGGGCGUAAAGCGUGCGUAGGCGGUUCGCUAAGUCGGAUGUGAAAUCCCCGGGCUCAACCUGGGACGUGCGUUCGAUACUGGCGGGCUCGAGUCUGGAAGAGGUCAGCGGAAUUCCCGGUGUAGCGGUGAAAUGCGUAGAUAUCGGGAGGAACAUCAGUGGCGAAGGCGGCUGACUGGUCUGAGACUGACGCUGAGGCACGAAAGCGUGGGGAACAAAC
rnacentral:rRNA from 1 species